UGGGGAAUAUUGCGCAAUGGGGGAAACCCUGACGCAGCGACGCCGUGUGAGGGAAGAAGGCCUUCGGGUCGUAAACCUCUGUCGGGAGGGAAGAACCGCCGGUUUCCGAACAGGGAGCCGGUCUGACGGUACCUCCGAAGGAAGCGCCGGCUAACUCCGUGCCAGCAGCCGCGGUAAUACGGAGGGCGCGAGCGUUAAUCGGAAUCACUGGGCGUAAAGCGCGCGUAGGCGGCUUGAUAAGUCGGGCGUGAAAGCCCUCGGCCCAACCGAGGAACUGCGUUAGAUACUGUUAGGCUUGAGUCCUGGAGAGGGUGGCGGAAUUCCGGGUGUAGGAGUGAAAUCCGUAGAUAUACGGAGGAACACCGGUGGCGAAGGCGGCCACCUGGACAGGUA
rnacentral:rRNA from 1 species